UGAGAGGCUACUGUGGUGGACUCUCCCCCUCAAGAAAUAAAUUUAAUAUCGUGUGGACCAUUGGCCCACAUAUCAGAUAUUAAACUGAUAAGAACAGAUACUACACUUGAUCUUAGCCAAAAGGCCGAGAAAGCAACUUGGAGCCCUUUCCUUUCAUAACAAAUCACAACCAUCACAGGUACUACGUAUAGCAGUUGCAAAUGAAGUGUGUAAGUAAAACACCCACGGUCAUAGAAGGACAACAUUUGGUUAUUUGUUUGCUAUGAAAGCCAUAACACUUUCAGCCUCUGCUUAUGGAUCUUAAGACAGUGGAGGGAAAUACUUCAUCUUAAGAGGGAGACUUUAAUACAAUAACUUGGAGUCUACAAGUGUUCCUGUCAGCACAACUAUGAUGUAGCUUGCUCUUAUGUAAAAGUAAUUAAAAACCAAGAGGGAGACUGUCUAGUUCACAUACAUUUUCUGCUCAAAAGGAUUUCAUCCACGCAAAGGUUCUAGCAUUGGAUCAUACUUGAAAUUCUCAUCAGGAUUAACUAAAUCCCACUUGAAACGUUUCACAAUAUUAUGCAUAAACACAAGUAUCUCUAGCCGAGCAAACUCUUGUCCCAGACACAUUCUAGGUCC